CCUGCAUUGAUGGAGCUGGAGUAGAUCAAGAGAGAAGAUUUGCACAUAACAAAUGGCAGAUCUGUGUGGUGAUGUUACAUGUGCCUUGUGAUCAGCACCCGGGACAUUAGGCACACGACACUUGGCAGAUGCGUUGCUUCUGAGGGGGUUUUGUCAAGAAGUGAGACGGAAGCGUAAGGAAUUGUGGAAGUUGGCGAGUGUGACAGAAAUAUUUUUCUGAGGAACCUGAAGUCUAUUAAAAGAUCCAAACCAACCCAAGGUCUGCACAGGGGGAUCUUGAGGUCCUUGUUCCUUUGCUCAUAGGUUGCUGUCACACCUACCCAAACUCACACUCCGCCCUGUGUGUGAGGCUUGUGUUGACUGGAGCUUGGUGCCACGGUGCAGCUGCUGUUUAAAUAACAAGUGGUUCCCGGCUGCAGAAGGCUCUGCUGGAACCCCUGUGACGCAGCUCUGACACCCCAUGCAGAAGCCUGUUCCACAGAGCCUGGGCUGGGACAGGGUGGUCUGUGUGUAGCCUGGACCUGCUGCAGAUCCUCUCUUGCUCUGGAGUUGGCAGCUUGCUGAAUCAUCUGGCAAAUGGGUCCAUCAGCACUGCUGGGCAUCUAUGCAGCAUCUGAACUCACAGCGUCUGGCAAAGCUGUGUGCUGCCUUUGAGGCGGGAAGUGUGCAGUCCAAACCACUCAUCCAUCACCCAGGAAGAAGUGUCAUGCAUGUCCCAGAUGCAGGACCUCUGGGAACACCACAGAGGGCAAAGCCUCUGUGGGCUUCUUCCCUCUGUCCUCCCCUCUGGCUCACAGGUGUCCUGACUGUAAGACGGAUAUGCGCAUGCAUUCAAGCCAGCACACAUGUGGCCCAUCAUUCUCCCCUCCUUUUUUGAGUGGAAAGGAGUUGUUUCUG